rnacentral:tRNA from 1 species
GGGGCUGUAGCUCAGUGGCAGAGCGCUUGUCUAGCAUGCAUGAGGCACUGGGUUGGAUCCGCAGCACCA